AUGACUCUAUCCCUGUGGCUAUGUGAUUGACUCUUAUCUGCCUCUGAAUGGCCUAGCAAGUUACUUGGUUACCUCAAAACCUUAAAAAAUAUUGGAUUGAAAAGAAAAAGAGUGGCUUGUCGGUCUCCACAUCUCAUAAAAAGGGUAAAAAGAAAUUUGAAGCUUGGAACAAUUCUUUUAGGUUUAUCUUUCUUUGUGUACCUGCAUAAUAGUACAGAAUGCAGGAGGAAGGAGAAGAAUGUAAUACAGUAGCAUCUCGACAUAUGAACGACCCCAUCCACGAACAAAACAGUUUAUGAACAGGAUUGUACAUAAAAUUUUGCUUCAACGUACGUACGAAAUUCAAGAAAGUAUGGCAACCCACAGCUCCACUGCAAAGGCCAAGAGAUUAAUCUAGUUCAGGAGAGCUUUAAAUCCUGACAUGUGAGGAUAGCAGCAUUGAUCAAUAUCUGGUUUUUAAAAUGAUGGCUGCAAUAGCUUUGAACAGAAAGAAAUUUACCAUGGUUCCAUUGUUGGUUGCCAGAGUUCCAUUGCUCUUAUAACCAGAUUUGGGUGAUCCUGGAGGAGUCCUUGAAGAGCAGACUAAGUGAACCAUAUGAUACUCGUCUUGCU